rnacentral:rRNA from 1 species
CCUGGCUCACGAUGAACGCUAGCUACAGGCUUAACACAUGCAAGUCGAGGGGCAGCAUGGUCUUAGCUUGCUAAGGCCGAUGGCGACCGGCGCACGGGUGAGUAACACGUAUCCAACCUGCCGUCUACUCUUGGACAGCCUUCUGAAAGGAAGAUUAAUACAAGAUGGCAUCAUGAGUCCGCAUGUUCACAUGAUUAAAGGUAUUCCGGUAGACGAUGGGGAUGCGUUCCAUUAGAUAGUAGGCGGGGUAACGGCCCACCUAGUCUUCGAUGGAUAGGGGUUCUGAGAGGAAGGUCCCCCACAUUGGAACUGAGACACGGUCCAAACUCCUACGGGAGGCAGCAGUGAGGAAUAUUGGUCAAUGGGCGAGAGCCUGAACCAGCCAAGUAGCGUGAAGGAUGACUGCCCUAUGGGUUGUAAACUUCUUUUAUAAAGGAAUAAAGUCGGGUAUGCAUACCCGUUUGCAUGUACUUUAUGAAUAAGGAUCGGCUAACUCCGUGCCAGCAGCCGCGGUAAUACGGAGGAUCCGAGCGUUAUCCGGAUUUAUUGGGUUUAAAGGGAGCGUAGAUGGAUGUUUAAGUCAGUUGUGAAAGUUUGCGGCUCAACCGUAAAAUUGCAGUUGAUACUGGAUAUCUUGAGUGCAGUUGAGGCAGGCGGAAUUCGUGGUGUAGCGGUGAAAUGCUUAGAUAUCACGAAGAACUCCGAUUGCGAAGGCAGCCUGCUAAGCUGCAACUGACAUUGAGGCUCGAAAGUGUGGGUAUCAAACAGGAUUAGAUACCCUGGUAGUCCACACGGUAAACGAUGAAUACUCGCUGUUUGCGAUAUACAGCAAGCGGCCAAGCGAAAGCGUUAAGUAUUCCACCUGGGGAGUACGCCGGCAACGGUGAAACUCAAAGGAAUUGACGGGGGCCCGCACAAGCGGAGGAACAUGUGGUUUAAUUCGAUGAUACGCGAGGAACCUUACCCGGGCUUAAAUUGCAGAUGAAUUACGGUGAAAGCCGUAAGCCGCAAGGCAUCUGUGAAGGUGCUGCAUGGUUGUCGUCAGCUCGUGCCGUGAGGUGUCGGCUUAAGUGCCAUAACGAGCGCAACCCUUGUUGUCAGUUACUAACAGGUUCCGCUGAGGACUCUGACAAGACUGCCAUCGUAAGAUGUGAGGAAGGUGGGGAUGACGUCAAAUCAGCACGGCCCUUACGUCCGGGGCUACACACGUGUUACAAUGGGGGGUACAGAGGGCCGCUACCACGCGAGUGGAUGCCAAUCCCCAAAACCUCUCUCAGUUCGGACUGGAGUCUGCAACCCGACUCCACGAAGCUGGAUUCGCUAGUAAUCGCGCAUCAGCCACGGCGCGGUGAAUACGUUCCCGGGCCUUGUACACACCGCCC